AACCAGAGUGAUGAAAAAGCAUCCUUAGGCGUGGUUUUGACCGUCUUGGUCAUUUCUUUGCCACUUGCCAAUGUAAGGACUUGUCAUAGUUACACUGACUUGUU
ensembl:snoRNA